GGCAGCAGCCAUGAUAGACAGACACGUUCAUUUGUAGCUGCUGAGAAAACUUGUUUUUAAGACGUAGAAAACAUUCAAUUGGCCUUCCGCUACAAUCAAGGCUGAGACAUCAUGCUGUAAGUGAAGCUAUAGAUAGAAGCAUCAGAUGGAACAAUGCCAACAUUGAAGCCCACAGUUGGAGACUGCACAGUUGGAGAUCUUUCCUUCCAUUUUAGACAUCUUUGGAUUUCAUCAAUCAAACUGACUGCAAUUUUCCAUAAAAAAACCUCUGAAUUUGGGUCAGAAAGUGGGCAAACUAGAUAAAGAUCAUUCUAGCUGUCUUGUGAGAUGAUAAAUAGGCAGCCUUUCAGAGCCACAAUGCACCAACUUUCAGAUUUGUAAUGCACGUCUAUUGCUUGGGAAUGCCAGUGAGUCAAUACAAUUUUCUCUAUGUUUUGCUAUGGUGGAGGAGAUGUCUUUAUAUAGCAUUGUCACUGCUAGCCUGACCUUUUCUCUACAGUCUUACUGGAUUCAGCUUAAUAAUGUUGUGCUGUUGUGGAGAGAGCUGUAUAGUUCAGUUCCAGUCCAGUGAGAUGUUGGGAUUCGGGAUUUGUAAGUGUAGAAUUGUAUUGUAAAACAUACAGAACAAGAUAUCCUUAUAGCUUUCAUUUAUUGAUAAUGGUUGCCAAUCUUUGUUGGUCCCCUCCGAGGAGACACUAGAUCAAUGACUGGGUGGGGCAGGUUAAAGGCCAAGUAGGGUGAGAUUUAAGGAGAAUGCCUGUUGCUCUCUUAGAUACCCUUGAAUGCCUGAGAUUUGGGAUGAGAAUUUAUAUGCUAUUUUUUUCGCUAGGGGAUGGCGAGUGAAAAAAACCGCAAAAAUCUCUCGAAUCAGCUCCAUUAGAAAUAUACCAGUAUAACGUUACCACUCAGCCUUCAAUUGGAUAAAAUAAAAAAUUUUAUAAAUCACCUUGGAGUUCUAUGACCAUACACAUGUACUAGAACAGGGGUGCCAAAAAGGUAGAUGGGGAUCUACCAGUAGACCUUUAGCUGUGGAUCAGUAGAUCUCAAGACACUCUCAACAAACAGCUUGU